rnacentral:tRNA from 1 species
GGUUUCGCGGUGUAGUUGGUUAUCACGUCAGUCUAACACUCUGAAGGUCUCCGGUUCGAACCCGGGCGAAGCCA